rnacentral:rRNA from 1 species
UACGUAGGGUGCAAGCGUUGUCCGGAAUUAUUGGGCGUAAAGAGCUCGUAGGCGGUUUGUCGCGUCGGCUGUGAAAGCCCGGAGCUCAACUCCGGGUCUGCAGUCGAUACGGGCAGACUCGAGUGUUGCAGGGGAGACUGGAAUUCCUGGUGUAGCGGUGAAAUGCGCAGAUAUCAGGAGGAACACCGGUGGCGAAGGCGGGUCUCUGGGCAACAACUGACGCUGAGGAGCGAAAGCGUGGGGAGCGAACAGG